rnacentral:rRNA from 1 species
UACGGAAGGGGCGAGCGUUGUUCGGAAUCAUUGGGCGUAAAGGGCGCGUAGGUGGUUCUGUAUGUCUGCCGUGAAAGGGUACAGCUCAGCUGUAGCUUGUCGGCAGAAACUGCAGGACUUGAGGCUGGGAGGGGCUGGUGGAAUUCCCUGUGUAGCGGUGAAAUGCGUAGAGAUGGGGGAGAACACUCGUGGCGAAGGCGGCCAUCUAGACCAGUUCUGACACUGAGGCGCGAAAGCCAGGGGAGCGAACGGG